rnacentral:lncRNA from 1 species
GCAUCUAACAGUUUACAAAGCACCUAGAGUGUUUGCAAUAGUCAGUGAGAGAGACAUUAGUGUGUAGCCACUUGCCCAACUAUGAAAUGUCUUAGGAAGGUCCAUGCCUUCCCCCAUGUUCUUCCUGCAUAAUGAAUGUCCUGGUGCCGUCUCUCUUCACCCUGACCUCCGUGAUUCUGUUCUCUAACAGAUGCAGCUGUCUUCCCCUCAGUGCUGGCACUGUGAGCUGCCUUCCCUCUCAGUGCCCGCUCCCCAGAACUGAGAGGUGGCUUCUCAAUCGGCUUUACCCUGUCCACUUCCAGAACUGGAUCUGCUCAGGGUCUACAGAUGGUGCUAUUAAUAGAACUGGAAAGCAGCAAGAUUGUUGCAAAGGUUCCAACUGCCAGAUUCCCCUUAUCCAAACUGUGCAAACAGUGGGCCAGAAGCAAAGCCUAAGGGACCCAGGUGCAGUGACUGCCCUUGGUAAUAGAUCCUGGGUAACUCAUCCUCUACACAAGAGCUCUACCCAGACUCUCAGCUCAGCCAGCUAGGGAAAUGAAGUCCUGGACAGUCACAGGGUACCGAGAUCCAGACAGUUCAAGCAUCCAGCUGCUUGACAAACAGUGGCUGGGUGGACCAGCUUGUAGAGUCUCCAUGGGCCAAUCAAACCAGUGUGGAGGAAGCUGAUCUACUGGCUUCAUUCCUGAUCACAUCUGAGAAGUAUCUGUCUUCCAUACAUUCUAUCUGGAGUUUCAUUUUAUUUUUUAAAAAAUUUGCUUAAAACAGCAUGUUUUAUAAAAUAAAAAAUAUUUUUAUCUCAUUAGAAA